rnacentral:lncRNA from 1 species
AUCUGGCUUUCCCUCCUUCCUGGCAGCAUUUUUAGCUUUAAUUUGAUAGUAAAAAACUGAAUCCAAAGUUACAAAAUUCUUCAGAUUCAACUUCUUUGAAAGAAAAAGAAGUUUUAGAAAAAGAAUAGAUAUCGCAGCUUCUAACCAGAACUCCUUCCGAGGCACAUGUCCCCCACAUGUGGCAGGUGCCCUGUGAAGGUGAAAUAGAUAAUAUUCAUUCAGGAAAUAUUCCCGUAUUUAAAAAUGGGUUUUCUUUUUUAGCUCUUAGAA